GCUGGGAGUGGUGGUGCACACCUGUAAUCCCAGCUACUCAGGAGGCUGAGGCAGGAGAAUCGCUUGAACCUGGGAGGCGGAGGUUGCAGUGAGCCGAGAUCGCACCACUGCACCCCAGCCUGGGUGACAGAGUGAGACCCUGUCUCAA
ensembl:misc_RNA Metazoa_SRP Metazoan signal recognition particle RNA